AUACGUAGGUGGCAAGCGUUGUCCGGAAUUAUUGGGCGUAAAGCGCGCGCAGGCGGUUCCUUAAGUCUGAUGUGAAAGCCCACGGCUCAACCGUGGAGGGUCAUUGGAAACUGGGGAACUUGAGUGCAGAAGAGGAAAGUGGAAUUCCAAGUGUAGCGGUGAAAUGCGUAGAGAUUUGGAGGAACACCAGUGGCGAAGGCGACUUUCUGGUCUGUAACUGACGCUGAGGCGCGAAAGCGUGGGGAGCAAACAGGAUUAGAUACCCUGGUAGUCCACGCCGUAAACGAUGAGUGCUAAGUGUUAGAGGGUUUCCGCCCUUUAGUGCUGCAGCAAACGCAUUAAGCACUCCGCCUGGGGAGUACGACCGCAAGGUUGAA
rnacentral:rRNA from 1 species